rnacentral:rRNA from 1 species
UACGUAGGUGGCAAGCGUUGUCCGGAUUUACUGGGCGUAAAGAGCGCGCAGGCGGUCGUUCAAGUCGCGUGUGAAAGCCCCCGGCUCAACUGGGGAGGGUCACGCGAUACUGAUCGACUCGAAGGCAGGAGAGGGUAGCGGAAUUCCCGGUGUAGUGGUGAAAUGCGUAGAUAUCGGAAGGAACAUCAGUGGCGAAAGCGACUUCCUGGACCAGUACCGACGUUCAGGCACGAAAGCGUGGGGAGCAAACAGG